rnacentral:rRNA from 1 species
AUACGUAGGGCGCAAGCGUUGUCCGGAAUUAUUGGGCGUAAAGAGCUCGUAGGCGGUUUGUCGCGUCUGCUGUGAAAACCCGAGGCUCAACCUCGGGCCUGCAGUGGGUACGGGCAGACUAGAGUGCGGUAGGGGAGAAUGGAACUCCUGGUGUAGCGGUGGAAUGCGCAGAUAUCAGGAAGAACACCGAUGGCGAAGGCAGUUCUCUGGGCCGUAACUGACGCUGAGGAGCGAAAGCGUGGGGAGCAAACAGGAUUAGAUACCCUGGUAGUCCACGCCGUAAACGUUGGGCGCUAGUUGUGGGGGCCAUUCCACGGUCUCCGUGACGUAGCUAACGCAUUAAGCGCCCCGCCUGGGGAGUACGGCCGCAAGGCUAAA